AUGAACGCUGGCGGCGUGCCUUAAGCAUGCAAGUCGAACGGGAAUUGUCUAGCCGCAAGGCCGGAUGAAACCAGUGGCGGACGGGUGAGUAAAGCCAAGGAACGUACCCUGAAGUACCGCACAGCUCGUCGAAAGACGGGGUAAUUCGGUAUGUGAACGCAAGUUCAAAGAUGCAAAUCGCUUCAGGAGCGGCCUUGUCACUAUCAGCUAGUUGGUGGGGUAAAGGCUCACCAAGGCUACGACGGUUAGGGGGCGUGAGAGCGCGACCCCCCACAAUGGCACUGAGACACGGGCCAUACGACUACGGUCGGCAGCAACUGGGAAUAGUUGGCAAUGGACGAAAGUCUGACCACGCGACGCCGCGUGAGGGAUGAAGUAUUUCGGUAUGUAAACCUCUUUUAUCCCCGCAUCGAGCGGGGGAGAAUAAGCACCUACAAACUACGU
rnacentral:rRNA from 1 species